rnacentral:ncRNA from 2 species
CUUUUAUCAAGAGUGGUGUAGAGACAGGCUCGACGAUACCACGACAACCUGCCGGUUUACCGGUAAGGUGCCAAAUCCUGACAGAUGAGAG